UCUGAAAACCCAAAAGCCAAAACCCGGAAAAAGUGAAUUGCCUACCCCUGCUCGUUUUUUCCAGGAAAAGAAGAGAAAGAAAUCGAGUUUCCGAGAAACCAAACGGAGCCUGAAGGGUUUUCUUUUUUUUUUGAUGCUAGGAAAUGCAAAGCUUAGGACCUUUACGACCUCGAAGCACAGUGCUGGUGAAGCGUCCUUGGCUUACUAAACCAUUUAACUGGAGAGCACUCUCGUCUAUUCCUCCUUCUGAUUACUCCAACCAGUCUCGCGGUGGCCUGCCUCGCUUCUUCUCUGAAACUCUUCCUUCUUCCAAGGGCGGUGUUAUUCGCGUUCAAGGAGAUGAGUUUUGGCAUAUGACUAAAGUUUUAAGAUUGAAAACUGACGACAGGGUAGAGCUCUUCAAUGGGAAAGGCGGUCUAGUAGAAGGGUUCAUACAAAACAUUGACCGUUCCUCUAUUGAUUUUGUGGCUUUGGAAGAUCCAAAGCUUGUUCUUCCACAGACCCCACAGUGGCAUAUAUUUGCUGCUUUUGGUUCACUGAAGGGUGGUCGAGCUGAUUGGCUUGUUGAGAAGUGUACUGAACUGGGAGCUAGUAGUGUAACACCUUUGCUCACACAACGUUCUUCUACCAUCUCUGACAAUCGGGUGGAGAGAUUGCAGCGUGUCAUUUUAGCAGCAGCUAAACAAUGCCAACGGUUGCAUGAAAUGAAACUGAAUCAUCCCAUGAAGAUUGAUAAUCUUAUACCUCUUGUUGCCAAGUCGAAGCAGUCUUUUAUAGCCAUAGCAGAAGGUACUCCUCUAGUAAGUGCAUUGACUUCAACAACAAAGGAAUCUAGUGGGCUGAUAAUAGUCGGACCAGAAGGGGACUUUACAGAGAAAGAGGUGGAUUUGAUUACAGAAGCAGGAGCUACAGCUGUUGGUCUUGGCCCUCAUCGUUUGCGUGUUGAAACUGCAACUAUAGCUAUUUUGGCAACCCUUACUCUAUGGUCUGGUUCUCAGCAAAUCAGCAACUGCUAAGCACUUAUGCAGAUACUGCUGACAGUGGCCGGUAGAGGGAACAAGGAAGAGUACUUGCUUCUUUUUAGCAGAGAUGUCAAGUACAUUGAGAUGCACUAUCAGAUUCCUCCUACGUGGAUACAUCAGAUCUGCCAUAGCAGAAAUUUCAUCUUCCUCAAAGAAACAAGAAGAACCGACACUAAAGCUCUUAGGCAAGCGUGGAGCUUCAGGAGGAGAAUGACAAACUACCCCUUCACCGUAACCAAGCCUGCCAGAACAAUCAACCAUAUUCUUAAUGUACAUGUCUCUUGCCUUGCAUAGAAUUCUGAUGGGUAGACGUACUGUUUUCAUCAACUUGCCUCGCUUGUUUGUUUUGCAACCUUCGCUUCUCAUUUUUUUUAACCUGCCGUUCCCGUAUAA